UACGUAGGCAGCGAGCGUUGUUCGGAGUUACUGGGCGUAAAGGGUGUGUAGGCGGUUGUUUAAGUUUGGUGUGAAAUCUCCCGGCUCAACUGGGAGGGUGCGCCGAAUACUGAAUGACUUGGAGUGCGGGAGAGGUGAGUGGAAUUCCUGGUGUAGCGGUGAAAUGCGUAGAUAUCGGGAGGAACACCUGUGGCGAAGGCGGCCCCCUGGUUGGAUACUGACGCUGAUACGCGAAAGCGUGGGGAGCAAACAGG
rnacentral:rRNA from 1 species